rnacentral:sRNA from 1 species
UGUGUGUUUGUAUGUGCAUGCGGGUGCACACCAGUGCUUGAGAGCAUUCCCGCACUCGAAUGCAGGCUUGUGGAAGUCAGACGCUUUGGAUUCCCUGGGGCCUUUGGACACGGGUGCUGGGGACUACACUUGGGUCCCAGGCAAAAGCAGUACGUGCUCUUACGCGCUGAGCCAUCUCUUCUGACACUUUGAAACCUGUCGGACCGGUUGGCUCUCCCUUUUGGGAGGAUGAGAAUGUCACAGAGUUGUGGGUGUGAGCUGUGUUCUCUGCACCCUUUCCUUGGGAGGUGUAUGGUGAAGGCUGGGAGAAGAUGCCUCUCUAAGAUCCAGGCUCCUGGGCUUGUUCCAAGUGCACCUAAACUUUUUGAGCUUGAACGUUAGGCUUUUUGUGGCUUUGUUGACAUUCACGGUCUGCCCCCACCACCACCACCCCAUGCAAGGUCAUUUAUUUUGUGGUCUCCCUUCAGUGGUUGAAUUCCAAUUCUCUUGGUGGUAGGCUAGGCUGGGAGAAAAGGGGAGGCGAGGAGGGGCUUUGUUAGGCGAGGCAGAGGCUGCUGCUGUGCUGGAGGCUGGGUUUCACACGCCCUCAGUACUCUGCAGUGGGAAGGUACGGGGUGGGGGCAGUUUUUCAGAGUGCGAAUUGCAAAGUAGUUACAGAUUCCCAAAGUUGGAAGCGAUCUUGGGUCAGGUUUCCAUCCACUCGACCUGAGAGAAUCCUACGUGAGGCUUACAGUUCUAGAAAUGGGGGGUCCGAGAGGUGUGGUGACACAUCGGAGGUCUUCCUGGGAGCCAGUCAGCAGAGUGUGAACUGUGCACUCUCCCUGGCUGCCAGGAAGCUCUCAGCCUCUGGAUUUGCUUCUGUACCCUAUGACCUACUUUUACUGUCCCCGGACUCUGGGAAGGCCACCCAGCUUUGAGGUUUUUGGCAAAUGUCUUGAAUGGGCUGUCACUCACUCCAGCUUUUCAAAAGGCAGCUCCUUGAGAAGCCAGCUGUGGCGCCCACUGCCGCUCUCCUGGCAAGUUGUCCAUGGCUUAGGAAGAAUCGGCCAUGGAGGGUUUGAGGAGACUUAUUGACACCUUCACAAAGGCUUGGUCUAGGCAUAAAUCCUGACCAGAGUGCUAAAGAGAAAUGUACGAAAUGAUAUAUGCUCACAGGGAGACCCUCACCGUCGCCUUCCCACACUCAUCCAUAGAAUUAACUUCCAGGGGGGAAAAAUGCAAAAGAGGAAGAAUUCAAAUAGGGCCAGACCUGUUGACUGCAUCUGAAGAGAGGGGCCAAGAGACCACUACUAACUUAACUGAUCAAGUAAGGCUUCCCACAGAAAAAAAAUCACUCAAAAGACUUGCUUUAAAAAUGUUACCUUUCACCAGAGAGUUCUAGAAGGAACAGCCCCUCUCACAAGGCCUGUGCCAGUCCCAUCUAGAGAGAAAACGUGGGGAUAGAGUAGGGAUGGCUAUUGUCUGAGAUCGAGGCCAGAGGUAGUGGCAGGGUCAAGAGCAGCCCCUGGUCUUUCCUGCCUGUCUAGGGCUUAACCUCACCAUGUGGCUGUUUGCCUGGGUGAAGAUCAAGGCUGCACCUCUGUGUUGCUCAAGCAGGUACCUUGGCAGCCUGCCAGGUGACAGCACAGAGCUGACCUCAGCCUGAUAACAGGGUAGGAAUGAACUCCCUUCCCCAGCUUUCGGGCUCCAGGAGAGAGAUGACAGAAAGCCACAGGGUCCUGGGGCAGUUUCCCUCUUGCUCUCUGCCGGCUUGGAGACUUUCUGCACGUGCCUCGCCAGCACCUUGCUCUGCAAUGUGUUCCUGAGACUCUGCAGGGUGGCCUCUCUCCACAAAGUGGGACCUGUUCUACAUGUACCCCAGAGAGGAAGGAAAUGUCAGACAGGUGGAGUUAUGAGAAUUACAGAGGAAGCAGUCAAAAUGUCACCCCAUAACUAAUUCAAUGCAAUAGAAAUGUAAUACGGUAGGCUGAGCCUUUUACAUCACAUACCUUCUUUCAUCUGACCAUGGAAAAUAUUAAUCUUUUCGGUCCCAUGGUCUGGUUUAUGCUACAGUCCUUUCUGUGUUUUGUGUUUUUGUUUUUUUUGGGUUUUUUUUCCUAUUCCCCAAGGCAAAGAAAGAGUAACUGACUUAUUCAGUCUGCUACAAUGGUGCCUCAGAUUUGAGAGAAGUUGGCACUGGUAUUAUUUGCAGCCCUGGGGACAGGACAAGGGUUUGGAAAACAAAGCUCACUUCUCUGUAGCCAAAUGGUCACCCAGUGAAAUGCCUUCCCCGUGGACCGGCUUUCUCAGCUGAGGCCCUGAGGGAGAGACACUUGCUAGGAGGAAAGGCGUGGUGCUCACUGGGAGGAGGCACUCGAGCAAAAGGACACCAACGGAAGGGAGAUCCCUCCCAGCUCCUUAGUUACCUUUCUACUGCUGUGAAGGGACGCCGUGACCAAGGCAAUUUAUAGAAAUAAAACAGCUCCCUGGGGGAAUCACAAUUUCAGCGACUAAGUUCAUGACCAUCGUGGAGGGGAGUGUGACUGCAAGCAGGCAGGCACGGCAUUAGCAUAGUUGCCGGGAGCUCACACCUUGAAACAUGAUGGCAAGGCAGAGAGUGCUAAGUGGGAAUGGCAUGAGCUUUUGAAACCCCAAUCAAAACCCACCUCCAGUGACAUGCCUCUGCCAACAAGGCCACACCUCCUAAUCCUUGCCGAGCAGUUCCACUGACUGGGGACCUUAAAUAUAGGAGCCUAUAAGGGUCAUUAUGAUUCAAGCCACCACACUCAGGGAUGGAGAGCUGGCUCAGUGUCAAGAGCCCUG